UGGCAUAGUGGUUAAGUGCUAUGGCUGCCAACCAAAAGGUCGGCAGUUCGAAUCUGCC
rnacentral:tRNA from 1 species